rnacentral:lncRNA from 1 species
GGCAAUAUAAGUUUUUUUUUGUGAUUGUGUGUUUUCUCAGAACUACUUCCAAACCUAUUUUCACUUUUAACAAUUUUUUCUAAAACUAUGUCUAACCUGAAAAUCUUUUCACUCCUCAAAGUUUUUUACUUCAACAUUGUUUUACUAAGUUCUUUCAAACUAUGUUAAAGCACUCUCACUUUACUCUUGGACCACUAAGUUCUGUCCUUUUUGUGUGAGCCUUGCCUUGGGACCCUUGAGCUCCAUCUGAACUUAGACACAUAAAAGUUGGCCUUUUC